rnacentral:rRNA from 1 species
UUUCGCAAUGCCCGAAAGGGUGACGAAGCGACGCCGCGUGUGGGAAGAAGGCCUUCGGGUUGUAAACCACUGUUGGGAGUUAGGAAAUGUAAGGGUGCUAAUAGUAUCCUUGCUUGACUAAGGCUCCGGAGGAAGCCACGGCUAACUCUGUGCCAGCAGCCGCGGUAAUACAGAGGCGGCAAGCGUUGUUCGGAAUUAUUGGGCGUAAAGAGCACGUAGGCGGCCUUGUAAGUCAGUUGUGAAAGCCUUCUGCUUAACGGAAGAACAGCAGCUGAUACUGCAAGGCUAGAGUGCGGAAGGGGAGAGUGGAACUUCUGGUGGAGCGGUGAAAUGCGUAGAUAUCAGAAGGAACACCGGCGGCGAAGGCGACUCUCUGGUCCGUAACUGACGCUGAGUGUGCGAAAGCUAGGGGAGCAAACGGGAUUAGAUACCCCGGUAGUCCUAGCCGUAAACGAUGGGCACUAAGUAGAGGGGUUUUA